rnacentral:rRNA from 1 species
UACGAAGGGGGCUAGCGUUGCUCGGAAUCAUUGGGCGUAAAGCGCACGUAGGCGGCUCCAAAAGUCGGAUGUGAAAUCCCUGGGCUCAACCGAGGAAGUGCAUCCGAAACUGCGGAGCUUGAGUAUGGAAGAGGGUCGCGGAAUUCCCGGUGUAGAGGUGAAAUUCGUAGAUAUCGGGAGGAACACCAGUGGCGAAGGCGGCGACCUGGGCCAAUACUGACGCUGAGGUGCGAAAGCGUGGGGAGCAAACAGG